GGAUUGUGGCUCAGAGGUAGAGCUCUCGCCUAGCAUGCUUGAGGCACUGGGUUUAAUACUCAGCACCA
rnacentral:tRNA from 1 species